AUGAAAAUACCUGUUUAUUUUCAUGCCGCAGCAAAUUGCAAUCCUAGAAAAAACAAGAUAAGGAUGUUUUUGGAAGAUGGGAUUGAGUUUUAUGACGACCAAGACAAGUUGUACAUUGCCACCGAUUUCUUCACAAGCAUUUUCGGCAUAACUUCUUUUUCUCUCCCAGCGAUUGAUGUUUCACAAGUUUAUGAGCUAGCUGACAUGAGCAUGUUAAUACAGCCUUCCUCAUGGGGAGAUAUCGUCUCUCUUAUUGACAAGCUACCAAACAACAGAAGUUCGGGGCCUAAUGGUUUCACAAAUGAAUUUUACAUGGCCUUUAAACACACAAUGAAGGAUGAUUUGAUAUGUUUUCUACAAUACUUCUAUGAUCAUAAGGCUGAUAUUCGACAAAUUAACACCUCCAACAUGGUGCUUCUGCCCAAGAAAGAAGCUCCAGUAAAUAUCAAGGAUUUCAGACCAAUAUCGCUGGUACAUAGCAUUCCCAAGAUGACGACCAAGGCACUGGUUGUGCGCUUACAGAAAAUGAUCCCGAUGCUGGUACACCCGUUACAGUCCGGAUUUCUGCCAGGAAGAUGCAUCAUGGAGAACUUUGUUCUCGCAGCCGAAUUGGUACAACAGGCGAUGAAGAGGAGAAUGCCCAUGAUAGUGCUCAAGCUGGAUUUCCAAAAAGCCUUUGACAAGUGGAUUCUAUCAGCAAGGGGUUUGGCCAACGAUGGAUCAAGUGGAUUCACACACUCUUAUAUUCCAGCUCUUCCAGGGUUAUAA
rnacentral:rRNA from 1 species